UAUAUUUGCACCGCAAAAAUUGCGUACAUAAAAAUCAUUUAAAAACAAUAUUGGCAUG
rnacentral:ncRNA from 1 species